rnacentral:rRNA from 1 species
GGUUAAGCGACUAAGCGUACACGGUGGAUGCCCUGGCAGUCAGAGGCGAUGAAGGGCGUGCUAAUCUGCGAUAAGCGCCGGUAAGGUGAUAUGAACCGUUAUAACCGGCGAUACCCGAAUGGGGAAACCCAGUGUGAUUCGUCACACUAUCAUUAACUGAAUCCAUAGGUUAAUGAGGCGAACCGGGGGAACUGAAACAUCUAAGUACCCCGAGGAAAAGAAAUCAACCGAGAUUCCCCCAGUAGCGGCGAGCGAACGGGGAGGAGCCCAGAGCCUGAAUCAGCAUGUGUGUUAGUGGAAGCGUCUGGAAAGGCGCGCGAUACAGGGUGACAGCCCCGUACACAAAAGCGCAUGUGCUGUGAGCUCGAUGAGUAGGGCGGGACACGUGGUAUCCUGUCUGAAUAUGGGGGGACCAUCCUCCAAGGCUAAAUACUCCUGACUGACCGAUAGUGAACCAGUACCGUGAGGGAAAGGCGAAAAGAACCCCGGCGAGGGGAGUGAAAAAGAACCUGAAACCGUGUACGUACAAGCAGUGGGAGCACCCUUUGGGUGUGACUGCGUACCUUUUGUAUAAUGGGUCAGCGACUUAUAUUCUGUAGCAAGGUUAACCGAAUAGGGGAGCCGGAGGGAAACCGAGUCUUAACCGGGCGUUAAGUUGCAGGGUAUAGACCCGAAACCCGGUGAUCUAGCCAUGGGCAGGUUGAAGGUUGGGUAACACUAACUGGAGGACCGAACCGACUAAUGUUGAAAAAUUAGCGGAUGACCUGUGGCUGGGGGUGAAAGGCCAAUCAAACCGGGAGAUAGCUGGUUCUCCCCGAAAGCUAUUUAGGUAGCGCCUCGUGAAUUCAUCUCCGGGGGUAGAGCACUGUUUCGGCUAGGGGGCCAUCCCGGCUUACCAACCCGAUGCAAACUGCGAAUACCGGAGAAUGUUAUCACGGGAGACACACGGCGGGUGCUAACGUCCGUCGUGAAGAGGGAAACAACCCAGACCGCCAGCUAAGGUCCCAAAGUCAUGGUUAAGUGGGAAACGAUGUGGGAAGGCCCAGACAGCCAGGAUGUUGGCUUAGAAGCAGCCAUCAUUUAAAGAAAGCGUAAUAGCUCACUGGUCGAGUCGGCCUGCGCGGAAGAUGUAACGGGGCUAAACCAUGCACCGAAGCUGCGGCAGCGACACUGUGUGUUGUUGGGUAGGGGAGCGUUCUGUAAGCCUGUGAAGGUGUGUCGUGAGGCAUGCUGGAGGUAUCAGAAGUGCGAAUGCUGACAUAAGUAACGAUAAAGCGGGUGAAAAGCCCGCUCGCCGGAAGACCAAGGGUUCCUGUCCAACGUUAAUCGGGGCAGGGUGAGUCGACCCCUAAGGCGAGGCCGAAAGGCGUAGUCGAUGGGAAACGGGUUAAUAUUCCCGUACUUGGUGUUACUGCGAAGGGGGGACGGAGAAGGCUAUGUUGGCCGGGCGACGGUUGUCCCGGUUUAAGCGUGUAGGUGUGUGUUCCAGGUAAAUCCGGUUCACUUUAACACUGAGGCGUGACGACGAGGCACUACGGUGCUGAAGCAACAAAUGCCCUGCUUCCAGGAAAAGCCUCUAAGCAUCAGGUAACAUCAAAUCGUACCCCAAACCGACACAGGUGGUCAGGUAGAGAAUACCAAGGCGCUUGAGAGAACUCGGGUGAAGGAACUAGGCAAAAUGGUGCCGUAACUUCGGGAGAAGGCACGCUGACACGUAGGUGAAGUGAUUUACUCAUGGAGCUGAAGUCAGUCGAAGAUACCAGCUGGCUGCAACUGUUUAUUAAAAACACAGCACUGUGCAAACACGAAAGUGGACGUAUACGGUGUGACGCCUGCCCGGUGCCGGAAGGUUAAUUGAUGGGGUCAGCGCAAGCGAAGCUCCUGAUCGAAGCCCCGGUAAACGGCGGCCGUAACUAUAACGGUCCUAAGGUAGCGAAAUUCCUUGUCGGGUAAGUUCCGACCUGCACGAAUGGCGUAAUGAUGGCCAGGCUGUCUCCACCCGAGACUCAGUGAAAUUGAACUCGCUGUGAAGAUGCAGUGUACCCGCGGCAAGACGGAAAGACCCCGUGAACCUUUACUAUAGCUUGACACUGAACAUUGAGCCUUGAUGUGUAGGAUAGGUGGGAGGCUUUGAAGUGUGGACGCCAGUCUGCAUGGAGCCGACCUUGAAAUACCACCCUUUAAUGUUUGAUGUUCUAACGUGGACCCGUUACCCGGGUUGCGGACAGUGUCUGGUGGGUAGUUUGACUGGGGCGGUCUCCUCCUAAAGAGUAACGGAGGAGCACGAAGGUUGGCUAAUCCUGGUCGGACAUCAGGAGGUUAGUGCAAUGGCAUAAGCCAGCUUGACUGCGAGCGUGACGGCGCGAGCAGGUGCGAAAGCAGGUCAUAGUGAUCCGGUGGUUCUGAAUGGAAGGGCCAUCGCUCAACGGAUAAAAGGUACUCCGGGGAUAACAGGCUGAUACCGCCCAAGAGUUCAUAUCGACGGCGGUGUUUGGCACCUCGAUGUCGGCUCAUCACAUCCUGGGGCUGAAGUAGGUCCCAAGGGUAUGGCUGUUCGCCAUUUAAAGUGGUACGCGAGCUGGGUUUAGAACGUCGUGAGACAGUUCGGUCCCUAUCUGCCGUGGGCGCUGGAGAACUGAGGGGGGCUGCUCCUAGUACGAGAGGACCGGAGUGGACGCAUCACUGGUGUUCGGGUUGUCAUGCCAAUGGCACUGCCCGGUAGCUAAAUGCGGAAGAGAUAAGUGCUGAAAGCAUCUAAGCACGAAACUUGCCCCGAGAUGAGUUCUCCCUGAGACUUAGAGUCUCCUGAAGGAACGUUGAAGACGACGACGUUGAUAGGCCGGGUGUGUAAGCGCAGCGAUGCGUUGAGCUAACCGGUACUAAUGAACCGUGAGGCUUAACCUUACAACGCCGAAGAUGUUUUG